rnacentral:rRNA from 1 species
GGAGAGUGGCGCACGGGUGAGUAACGCGUGGGGACCUACCUCUUAGUGGGGGAUAACGGUUGGAAACGACCGCUAAUACCGCAUACGCCCUUCGGGGGAAAGAUUUAUCGCUAAGAGAUGGACCCGCGUUGGAUUAGAUAGUUGGUGAGGUAACGGCUCACCAAGUCAGCGAUCCAUAGCUGGUUUGAGAGGAUGAUCAGCCACACUGGGACUGAGACACGGCCCAGACUCCUACGGGAGGCAGCAGUGGGGAAUAUUGGACAAUGGGGGCAACCCUGAUCCAGCCAUGCCGCGUGAGUGAAGAAGGCCUUCGGGUUGUAAAGCUCUUUCAGAUGCGAAGAUGAUGACGGUAACAUCAGAAGAAGCCCCGGCUAAUUUCGUGCCAACAGCCGCGGUAAUACGAAAGGGGCUAGCGUUGUUCGGAUUUACUGGGCGUAAAGGGCACGCAGGCGGUCUUGCCAGUCAGGGGUGAAAGCCCGAGGCUCAACCUCGGAACUGCCUCUGAUACUGUAAGAC